UACGUAGGGGGCAAGCGUUAUCCGGAUUUAUUGGGCGUAAAGGGAACGCAGGCGGUCUUUUAAGUCUGAUGUGAAAACCCGCGGCUCAACUGCGGGACUGCAUUGGAAACUGGCGGGCUUGAGUGCCGGAGAGGCAAGCGGAAUUCCUAGUGUAGCGGUGAAAUGCGUAGAUAUUAGGAGGAACACCAGUGGCGAAGGCGGCUUACUGGACGGUAACUGACGCUGAGGCUCGAAAGCGUGGGGAGCAAACAGG
rnacentral:rRNA from 1 species